GGUCAAGCUAGUAAGGGCUGCUGGUGGAUGCCUUGGCAUCAACAGGCGAUGAAGGACGCGAAACCUGCGAUAAGCUUCGGUGAGCUGGAAAAAAGCUGUGACCCGGAGAUUUCCGAAUGGGGCAACCCGGUGGGAUAAUCACCCACCAUUCAUAACUGAAUACAUAGGUUAUGAAAGCGAGACCUGCCGAACUGAAACAUCUUAGUAAGCAGAGGAAAAUAAAUCAAAUCGAGAUUCCCUUAGUAGCGGCGAGCGAAACGGGAUCAAGCCCAAACCAACAAGCUUGCUUGUUGGGGUUGUAGGACCAGUCAAAAGAGCAGCAAACUUUAGCUGAAGACUUCUGGAAAGUUGAGCGAUACAGGGUGAUAGCCCCGUAAGCGAAAAAGCGAGCUGACAGGAUUGGCACCUGAGUAGGGCCGGACACGUGAAACCCGGUCUGAAUCUGGGGGGACCACCCUCCAAGGCUAAACACUCGUUGAUGACCGAUAGUGAACAAGUACCGUGAGGGAAAGGCGAAAAGAACCCCUAUAAGGGGAGUGAAAUAGAACCUGAAACCAGCAGCUUACAAACGGUCGGAGGCCUAUGCCCAUUUUAUGGGAAUGGCUAACGGCGUGCCUUUUGCAUGAUGAGCCAGCGAGUUACGUUACACGGCGAGGCUAAGGGGUUACCACUCCGGAGCCGAAGCGAAAGCGAGUUUUAAAAGAGCGUAAUCAGUACUUGUACUGAUGUAGUCGUGUGGCGCAGACACGAAACCAAGUGAUCUAUCCAUGGCCAGGUUGAAGCAGAGGUAACACUCUGUGGAGGACCGAACUAGUGACUGUUGAAAAAGUCUUGGAUGAGCUGUGGAUAGGGGUGAAAGGUCAAUCAAACUUGGAGAUAUCUUGUUCUCCCCGAAAUAACUUUCGGGUUAGCCUCGGUCAAUUGAUUGCAGGGGUAGAGCACUGAAUUCACGAGGGGGUCUACCGACCUACCAAAGGAAAUCAAACUCCGAAUACUGCAAUUUGAACCGGGAGAUAGACAGUGGGGGAUAAGCUUCAUUGUCAAAAGGGGAACAGCCCAGAUCGUCGAUUAAGGCCCCAAAUUCUAUGUUAAGUGAGUAAGGAAGUAAAGUUUCAAAAACAGUUGGGAUGUUGGCUUAGAGGCAGCCAUCAUUUAAAGAGUGCGUAACAGCUCACCAAUCGAGAAACUUUGCGCCGAUAAUAGACGGGACUAAAACAUAGAGCCGAAAUCACGGGUUUACACCUUUUAGGUGUAAGCGGUAGGGGAGCGUUGUAUGGGCGCUGAAGGCAUACCGUAAGGAGUGCUGGAGCGCAUACAAGUGAUUAUGCAUGGCAUGAGUAAACGAUAAAGGGGGCGAAAAUCCCCCUCGCCGAAAAUCCAAGGUUUCCAGGGUAAAGCUCGACUUCCCUGGGUUAGUCGGUCCCUAAGCCGAGGCGGAAACGCGUAGGCGAUGGAAAGCAGGUUAAAUAUUCCUGCACCACCUAAGGCUACAACGACGGGUUGACGAAGGAAGCGAAUGCGUGCGGACAAUUGGAAAAGUCCGUGACGCCGUGAGAUAGGCUGAUAGGCAAAUCCGUCAGCAGGAUAUCAGGCGGCGGCCAAGGGGAAUCUACGGAGGAACCGAUAGCGUUGAGCGAUACUUCCAAGAAAUAGACUCUAGUUGCUGAUGGUGACCGUACCAAAACCGACACAGGUGGAUGAGAAGAAUAUUCUUAGGCGCGCGAGAUAACUCUCGUUAAGGAACUCUGCAAAUUAUUCCUGUAACUUCGGGAGAAGGGAAGCCGCUUUGAGUGAUUGGAUUUACUCCAUGAGCUCAGAGUGGUCGCAGAUAAAUGGCCCAGGCGACUGUUUAACAAAAACACAGCACUAUGCAAAGACAACUUAAGUCCAUGUAUAUGGUGUGAUGCCUGCCCAAUGCCAAAAGGUCAAAAGGAGAUGUCAGUCGUAAGACGAAGCAUUGAAUUUAAGCCCUGGUGAAUGGCGGCCGUAACUAUAACGGUCCUAAGGUAGCGAAAUUCCUUGUCGGGUAAGUUCCGACCUGCACGAAUGGUAUAACGAUCUGGGCGCUGUCUCGACGAGAGACUCGGUGAAAUUGUAGUAGCAGUGAAGAUGCUGUUUACCCGCAAUAAGACGGAAAGACCCCGUGAACCUUUACUGUACUCUGAUAUGGGCUUUUGAUUUUUCAUGUGUAGGAUAACCAGGAGACUAUGAAGUCCCGUCGUCAGGCGGGAUGGAGUCAACGUUGAAAUACUGGUCUUGAAAAGUCGAAAUUCUAACAGUGACCCUGUGAAACCAGGCGCUGGACAGUGUCAGACGGGCAGUUUUGCUGGGGCGGUAUCCUCCUAAAGAGUAACGGAGGAGUCCAAAGCUUGCCUCAUCGUGGUUGGCAAUCACGAGAAGAGCGUAAAGGUAUAAGGCAAGUUGACUGUGAGACCAACAAGUCGAACAGAUACGAAAGUAGGGCUUAGUGAUCCGGCAGUGGAAAGUGGAAUCGCUGUCGCUCAACGGAUAAAAGGUACUCCGGGGAUAACAGGCUUAUCGCCACCAAGAGUUCAUAUCGACGUGGCGGUUUGGCACCUCGAUGUCGACUCAUCGCAUCCUGGGGCUGAAGAAGGUCCCAAGGGUUUGGCUGUUCGCCAAUUAAAGCGGUACGCGAGUUGGGUUCAAAACGUCGUGAGACAGUUUGGUCCCUAUCUGUUGUGGGCGUAGGAUACUUGAGAGGAGCUGCUUCUAGUACGAGAGGACCGAAGUGGACGAACCAAUGGUGUUCCAGUUGUCCUGCCAAGGGCACAGCUGGGUAGCUAAGUUCGGAAAGGAUAAGCGUUGAAAGCAUCUAAACGCCAAGCCUCCCUCAAGAUAAGGUAUCCCAAUGAGACCCCCCGAAGACUACGGGGUAGAUAGGUUGGGUGUGUAAGCACAGCAAUGUGUUCAGCUAACCAAUACUAAUCGGUCCAUUGGCUUGACCAC
rnacentral:rRNA from 1 species